rnacentral:rRNA from 1 species
AGCAGUGGGAGCACGCUUAGGCGUGUGACUGCGUACCUUUUGUAUAAUGGGUCAGCGACUUAUAUUCUGUAGCAAGGUUAACCGAAUAGGGGAGCCGAAGGGAAACCGAGUCUUAACUGGGCGUUAAGUUGCAGGGUAUAGACCCGAAACCCGGUGAUCUAGCCAUGGGCAGGUUGAAGGUUGGGUAACACUAACUGGAGGACCGAACCGACUAAUGUUGAAAAAUUAGCGGAUGACUUGUGGCUGGGGGUGAAAGGCCAAUCAAACCGGGAGAUAGCUGGUUCUCCCCGAAAGCUAUUUAGGUAGCGCCUCGUGAAUUCAUCUCCGGGGGUAGAGCACUGUUUCGGCAAGGGGGUCAUCCCGACUUACCAACCCGAUGCAAACUGCGAAUACCGGAGAAUGUUAUCACGGGAGACACACGGCGGGUGCUAACGUCCGUCGUGAAGAGGGAAACAACCCAGACCGCCAGCUAAGGUCCCAAAGUCAUGGUUAAGUGGGAAACGAUGUGGGAAGGCCCAGACAGCCAGGAUGUUGGCUUAGAAGCAGCCAUCAUUUAAAGAAAGCGUAAUAGCUCACUGGUCGAGUCGGCCUGCGCGGAAGAUGUAACGGGGCUAAACCAUGCACCGAAGCUGCGGCAGCGACGCUUAUGCGUUGUUGGGUA